GUUUCCAUAGUGUAGUGGUUAGCCCGUCUGCUUUACAAGCAGAAGGUCCUGGGUUCAUGCUCUGGUGGAGGAA
rnacentral:tRNA from 1 species